UCAUGACACGUGAUCAACGAACAAAAUGGCGGAAGCUAUGAAAAAGGGCCAAAAAGUGCUAUAUAUUUGAUGUUUAAAUGCAGAAAAAGGCUACAAUAUAGCCCAAAAUACUAUUUGAAUCAUCGAGGCACGCCAAGAAGACAAUGAAAUGAAAUACACAAAGGAAAUCAGGUUCUGUUCCAGACAGUGUAACAUACCUGUAACAUGCAGCCUGCACUCAGGCUACAAAGAAUGCAGCACAACCGUCUAAUAUCAGAUACAUAGACAAUGAUUACACCGGCUGACAUGUGAUAUCCAUGAACAUUGCUGUAGCUGUGCUUUAGCACAUUUGAAAACCAUGACGAGAUGUCAAUCAUCUGUCAUCACCUGAGCUGCUCANCAGUGCNGUCAGCCAAGUACAAAUGUACAGUCUGGUCGAACUGACAUUCAGAUAUGAUGAAUGAUCUUUCAGAGAUCUAACAAACCCAGAGCUGCCAGAAUUACCUUGAGAACAAUGAACUUUCUGAAAUGAGAGAAGUGGAGUGCAGUCAUUCUACAAUAGGUUUCUUAGGACUGUACUCCAUAAAAAUAAGGAUUGAAUCUAGAACUUUUUGUGGGUUGGGGGACUGGCUCUUAAGGUUAAGUUAGGUUUUCUGGUUCUUUAAGGUUUCUUUUUUGCAAGAUGAUUUUCCACUCGAUAGAAGUCCAACGAAUAUGGAGGAAAUGUCAUAGAAAUGACACAUCAUGACAAGAUAUAGUUGACAAAAUGACAGAAACAUGUGCUGCCAGUCCUCCAACCCAAAGCAGUAGAUACAGGAGAGUGUCCUUUUAGUAUGAGCUGACGGAAAGUUGAUUUGAUUUACAGUGUUCUGACUCCGAGCAUAUUUCCAUCACUAUUUUUCCUUGAUUCAAACUUGGUGCUUAGGGCUUCAUCUGCCAUGNAGGUUUUGUGUUUGAUUGAUAGGACACUCUCCUGUAUCUAUUGCUUUUCAUUGUCAAAAUGGAAAUAAAGAACAUGCCUCCCUGAGGCCCUGCCAGCACCAAAAGAGAAGCCACCCCAGCAGGCCUAAUCUCUUUGGUAGUCUCGCUGCCCUGACUAGAGCNAACCGGUUAUAAGGCCAAGACCAGCAAACCUAAGACUGCCCUGAUACUGGAGACUGACUGCAUGAAUGUCGAACCGCCACCCACUGCAGACUCCAAGGGGGAACUCUGAUGCCAUUCAAGUCAGCAAAUAAGGUGAGGGUCAGUGCAAAUGUGAGUCUCCGGUGACCCUGCCCAACCAUUCACUGGUGUGCAUGGCAGUGAUGUACUGGGUGAUCAGUAGGCUUGAAGUGAUGCUUCAUUCAGACUUCUCCAAACUAAGUGAUUAUCAAACUGACAUGGAAGACUUAAAAACCUUUUUUUCUGGGAUAAUAUUGUGGGGUUAAAUGUUAUCAGCAGCUGUUAAAAUGGCCUCUACCACAGAUUACAAUUUAAUUGAAGUUUUUUCACCAGCAAAGUGAAGACCUCAGAUCCCUAAACAACUUAAUUUAUAACAUAACAAUGUAAAAAUGCUACGAAUGUGACUUGAGAUGAGAUAUUUGAAAAGGAUUCACUAAAAUGUGUCAAAUCCUGCGCUGGUAAAUGAGACUUGAAUCAGAACUGUUUUCACUACAAGCAAAAACAAACAAUGUACUCGUCAGGACCAAGGCAUUAAUUUAAGUGAGGUAAAAUUACUGUAACUAAACAGAAAAGAGCAAAAUCUGUUGAGCAGUUGUUUCAAGGUUUACAUAAUAUAUUUCAGUCUCUGCAAUGUCUCUGUUGAAGCCAUUUAAAAAGAAACAAAGCAAUAUUACAUAAACAAGGAUCUGAGGUCUUCAAAAAUUGUAUUUUUCAAAUCUCUUUUUUCAACAAAUCUAUGGAAAAAUGGAAAGAUUUUACUUGUUCAAAUUGUUUGAAUUUUUUCGUGCAGUUAUGAAAUUUACCAAAUUACACAAAUUUGACAGUGAAUCAAAUGUACAAGCCAGAAAGAAGGCAAUUACAAAAUGUACAAAGCAGUGAACUUAGCAAUAAGAACUUAGCAAUAUAAAAGUACGCAAUAUUAAUGAUCUAGAGGUGAAAGGUGACUCAUUGAAGAUGGGAAGAAACACCAAACCUCAGAAAUACAAAGUCUAUAAUUGUGACAAGAAGUCAAAAGAGGAUGUUACGCCUCUAGCUGUAACUGACAACUGCUUGAAGCUCAAAUUGACUAAAAUGUUUGCUUUGACGUAACAGUGCACUUGUCUAGAAGUACACUUAUCUGUUUUGCUCCCUAGAACACUUAAAUUUCCUAUAUUUGGUGAAUGAUUACGCAGCCAAAUAUAGUUGUUGACAUUAUUACAGCGGCUCUUGCACUUGUCGAAAGUUUCUUUGCUGGUGAAAAAACUAUCUUAGGCUGACAUUAAAAUAAAACAUAAAUCUUUCUGUAUUUGCCACCAUUUCUUAGGACACUAAACAAAUAAACAUAUCUUUCUAUGGAGAAUGUUUGCGAUGUUUGGCAGUGAUUUAAAUAAUUCAAAAUGGCUUCUAUGUUAAUCAAUUCAAAAUGGCUUCUAGACUUAUCAAUUCAA
rnacentral:lncRNA from 1 species